rnacentral:rRNA from 1 species
UACAGAGACUGCAAGCGUUAUUCGGAUUCACUGGGCAUAAAGGGUGCGCAGGUGGCCAAGUGUGUGAGGCGUGAAAGCCCGGGGCUUAACCCCGGAAUUGCACCUCAAACUACAUGGCUAGAGCAUUGGAGAGGGGAGCAGAAUUCACGGUGUAGCAGUGAAAUGCGUAGAUAUCGUGAGGAAUACCAGAGGCGAAGGCGGCUCCCUGGACAAUUGCUGACACUCAGGCACGAAAGCGUGGGGAGCAAAAGGG